ensembl:lncRNA
AUGGGGCGGAGGUGUCUCCGUCUCUGUACUGUGAAGUGGAUGGGGCGGAGGUGUCUCUGUACUGUGAGGUGGAUGGGGCGGAGGUGUCUCCGUCUCUGUACUGUGAGGUGGAUGGGGCGGAGGUGUCUCUGUACUGUGAGGUGGAUGGGGCGGAGGUGUCUCGGUCUCUGUACUGUGAGGUGGAUGGGGCGGAGGCGUUUCGGUCUCUGUACUGUGAGGUGGAUGGGGCGGAGGUGUCUCGGUCUCUGUACUGUGAGGUGGAUGGGGCGGAGGCGUCUCGGUCUCUGUACUGUGAGGUGGAUGGGGCGGAGGCGUCUCGGUCUCUGUACUGUGAGGUGGAUGGGGCGGAGGCGUCUCGGUCUCUGUACUGUGAGGUGGAUGGGGCGGAGGCGUCUCGGUCUCUGUACUGUGAAGUGGAUGGGGCGGAGGCGUCUCGGUCUCUGUACUGUGAAGUGGAUGGGGCGGAGGUGUCUCUGUACUGUGAGGUGGAUGGGGCGGAGGUGUCUCUGUACUGUGAAGUGGAUGGGGCGGAGGUGUCUCUGUACUGUGAGGUGGAUGGGGCGGAGGUUUCUCUGCACUGUGAGGUGGGUGGAAGGGGUGCAGUCCGAUGACCGUCAACCUCUUUUAGCUCUAUGAUUGGUCCAUCGCCUUCAGAGGCCACACCCCAAAGUGCUGCUGGACGAAUCACACGUCGCCGGGCAGGAUUCAGGGACUGGAGAGAGAGAGAGGAGGGGAGAGAGAGAAAGAGAGGAGGGGAGAGAGAGAAAGAGAGGAGGGGAGAGAGAGAAAGAGAGGAGGGGAGAGAGAGGAGGGGAGGGAGAAUGGGAGGAGGGGAGAGAGAAAGAGGGAGGGAAGAGAGAGAGAAAGAGGGAGGGAGGGGAGAUAGAGAGAAAGAGGGAGGGAAGAGAGAGAGAAAGAGGGAGGGAGGGGAGAGAGAAAGAGAGGAGGGGAGAGAGAGAGAGAGAGGGAGGGAGGAGAACAAUAAAAAGAGCGAAAGGAGGGGAGCGAGAGAAAGAGAGAGAGGAGGGGAGCGAGAGAAAGAGAGAGAGGAGGGGGGCGAGAGGAGGGGAGCGAGAGAAAGAGAGAGAGAGGACAGGUGGUUAGGACAAACACACAGUGUUAAGAGACUAGACACGGGUCACCUAGUCAGCUCCAAACCUAUCCCAAGUCAGGGGUUAGAGGUCAAGGUUGGGAUGCUAACCAUUAACCGGUCAGGCGCUGAAAAUGCAUUUGACUGGUCAGGUUCAUUUGCAUAAUUUUGGUGCCAUGUGUAUUUUUGGUUAGUAGACACGAACAGUCUUCCAGCUUCAUAUUGAUUAACAAGAGGAGGAGCCUCCCAGCUUCAUAUUGAUUAACAAGAGGAGACUCCCAGCUUCAUAUUGAUUAACAAGAGGAGACUCCCAGCUUCAUAUUGAUUAACAUGAGGAGCCUCCCAGCUUCAUAUUGAUUAACAAGAGGAGACUCCCAGCUUCAUAUUGAUUAACAAGAGGAGACUCCCAGCUUCAUAUUGAUUAACAAGAGGAGACUCCCAGCUUCAUAUUGAUUAACAAGAGGAGACUCCCAGCUUCAUAUUGAUUAACAUGAGGAGGAGACUCCCAGCUUCAUAUUGAUUAACAAGAGGAGCCUCCCAGCUUCAUAUUGAUUAACAAGAGGAGCCUCCCAGCUUCAUAUUGAUUAACAAGAGGAGACUCCCAGCUUCAUAUUGAUUAACAAGAGGAGGAGCCUCCCAGCUUCAUAUUGAUUAACAAGAGGAGACUCCCAGCUUCAUAUUGAUUAACAAGAGGAGACUCCCAGCUUCAUAUUGAUUAACAAGAGGAGACUACCAGCUUCAUAUUGAUUAACAAGAGGAGACUACCAGCUUCAUAUUGAUUAACAAGAGGAGACUACCAGCUUCAUAUUGAUUAACAAGAGGAGGAGACUCCCAGCUUCAUAUUGAUUAACAAGAGGAGCCUCCCAGCUUCAUAUUGAUUAACAAGAGGAGCCUCCCAGCUUCAUAUUGAUUAACAAGAAGGGAAGCCUCCCUGCUUCAUAUUGAUUAACAAGAGGAGCCUCCCAGCUUCAUAUUGAUUAACAAGAGGAGCCUCCCAGCUUCAUAUUGAUUAACAAGAGGAGACUCCCAGCUUCAUAUUGAUUAACAAGAGGAGGAGCCUCCCAGCUUCAUAUUGAUUAACAAGAGGAGGAGCCUCCCAGCUUCAUAUUGAUUAACAAGAGGAGACUCCCAGCUUCAUAUUGAUUAACAAGAGGAGACUCCCAGCUUCAUAUUGAUUAACAAGAGGAGGAGACUCCCAGCUUCAUAUUGAUUAACAAGAGGAGACUCCCAGCUUCAUAUUGAUUAACAAGAGGAGACUCCCAGCUUCAUAUUGAUUAACAAGAGGAGACUCCCAGCUUCAUAUUGAUUAACAAGAGGAGCCUCCCAGCUUCAUAUUGAUUAACAAGAGGAGGAGCCUCCCAGCUUCAUAUUGAUUAACAAGAGGAGCCUCCCAGCUUCAUAUUGAUUAACAAGAGGAGGAGACUCCCAGCUUCAUAUUGAUUAACAAGAGGAGGAGACUCCCAGCUUCAUAUUGAUUAACAAGAGGAGACUCCCAGCUUCAUAUUGAUUAACAAGAGGAGCCUCUCAGCUUCAUAUUGAUUAACAAGAGGAGGAGCCUCCCAGCUUCAUAUUGAUUAACAAGAGGAGACUCCCAGCUUCAUAUUGAUUAACAUGAGGAGACUCCCAGCUUCAUAUUGAUUAACAAGAGGAGGAGACUCCCAGCUUCAUAUUGAUUAACAAGAGGAGACUCCCAGCUUCAUAUUGAUUAACAAGAGGAGCUUCCCAGCUUCAUAUUGAUUAACAAGAGGAGGAGACUACCAGCUUCAUAUUGAUUAACAAGAGGAGACUCCCAGCUUCAUAUUGAUAAACAAGAGGAGCCUCCCAGCUUCAUAUUGAUUAACAAGAGGAGGAGACUCCCAGCUUCAUAUUGAUUAACAAGAGGAGCCUCUCAGCUUCAUAUUGAUUAACAAGAGGAGACUCCCAGCUUCAUAUUGAUUAACAAGAGGAGGAGACUCCCAGCUUCAUAUUGAUAAACAAGAGGAGACUCCCAGCUUCAUAUUGAUUAACAAGAGGAGCCUCCCAGCUUCAUAUUGAUUAACAAGAGGAGGAGACUCCCAGCUUCAUAUUGAUUAACAAGAGGAGCCUCCCAGCUUCAUAUUGAUUAACAAGAGGAGCCUCCCAGCUUCCUAUUGAUUAACAAGGAGGAGGAGGAGCCGCCCAGCUUCAUAUUGAUUAACAAGAGGAGGAGACUCCCAGCUUCAUAUUGAUUAACAAGAGGAGCCUCCCAGCUUCAUAUUGAUUAACAAGAGGAGGAGACUCCCAGCUUCAUAUUGAUUAACAAGAGGAGACUCCCAGCUUCAUAUUGAUUAACAAGAGGAGACUCCCAGCUUCAUAUUGAUUAACAAGAGGAGACUCCCAGCUUCAUAUUGAUUAACAAGAGGAGACUCCCAGCUUCAUAUUGAUUAACAAGAGGAGCCUCCCAGCUUCAUAUUGAUUAACAAGAGGAGCCUCCCAGCUUCAUAUUGAUUAACAAGAGGAGGAGCCUCCCAGCUUCAUAUUGAUUAACAAGAGGAGGAGACUCCCAGCUUCAUAUUGAUUAACAAGAGGAGGAGGAGACUCCCAGCUUCAUAUUGAUUAACAAGAGGAGCCUCCCAGCUUCAUAUUGAUUAACAAGAGGAGCCUCUCAGCUUCAUAUUGAUUAACAAGAGGAGGAGCCUCCCAGCUUCAUAUUGAUUAACAAGAGGAGACUCCCAGCUUCAUAUUGAUAAACAAGAGGAGACUCCCAGCUUCAUAUUGAUUAACAAGAGGAGGAGACUCCCAGCUUCAUAUUGAUUAACAAGAGGAGGAGCCUCCCAGCUUCAUAUUGAUUAACAAGAGGAGCCUCCCAGCUUCAUAUUGAUUAACAAGAGGAGCCUCCCAGCUUCAUAUUGAUUAACAAGAGGAGGAGCCUCCCAGCUUCAUAUUGAUUAACAAGAAGAGAAGCCUCCCAGCUUCAUAUUGAUUAACAAGAAGGGAAGCCUCCCUGCUUCAUAUUGAUUAACAAGAAGGGAAGCCUCCCUGCUUCAUAUUGAUUAACAAGAAGGGAAGCCUCCCUGCCUCAUAGCUAUAUUGUAAACUAUGUUUCACAGGGGCUAGUUCGUUACAGUAGUUGUAUGUUCAAUAAUACUGUAGCUUUUCAGCUGUGAGACGAUUGGCUUGCACUGUUGCCUCUUUCAAUUAGGCUCUAACAUAAGUUAACGUAGCCGUUAGAAACCGGUUAAUGAGGGUCGAAUCGUCGGCAGGAAAAUUGACCAACAUUUGCAUCCCUAGUUAAAGGUCAGGGGUUAGAUUAAGUAUUUAGAGGUCAGGGGUUAAAGGUUACCAGUAGUAUGCUAUUAUCAUCAUCAUCUGGCUGGUCAGACACCAGGACAGGGUGAGAGGUCAGAGGUUACGUCUAGUAUGCUGACAUCAUCAUCAUCAUCUGGCUGGUCAGACACCAGGACAGGGUGAGAGGUCAGAGGUUACGUCUAGUAUGCUGACAUCAUCAUCAUCGUCGUCAGGUUUGUCAGAAACCAGGACAGGGUGAGAGGUCAGGGGUUAAAGGUUACCUCUAGUAUGCUGACAUCAUCAUUGUCAGGUUUGUCAGAAACCAGGACAGGGUGAGAGGUCAGGGGUUUAAAGGUUACCUCUAGUAUGCUGACAUCAUCAUUGUCAGGUUUGUCAGAAACCAGGACAGGGUGAGAGGUCAGGGGUUUAAAGGUUACCUCUAGUAUGCUGACAUCAUCAUCAUCGUCAGGUUUGUCAGAAACCAGGACAGGGUGAGAGGUCAGGGGUUAAAGGUUACCUCUAGUAUGCUGACAUCAUCAUUGUCAGGUUUGUCAGAAACCAGGACAGGGUGAGAGGUCAGGG